GUCAUUGGAUCGAAAGUGAAGGUGGCU
rnacentral:misc_RNA from 1 species